rfam:Puccinia triticina 1-1 BBBD Race 1 supercont2.4, whole genome shotgun sequence.
GACAGGAUGGCCGAGUGGUUAAGGCGGCAGUUUUGAACCCGGGUUGACGGCUCUCCAGCUGCUUCACUUUGUGAGCGUGAGUUCAAACCUCACUCCUGUCG